rnacentral:rRNA from 1 species
ACCCCUGGAAGACUACCAGGUUGAUAGGUCGGAGGUGUAAGCACGGUAACGUGUUCAGCUGACCGAUACUAAUAGGUCGAGGGCUUGAUCAA